rnacentral:misc_RNA from 1 species
AUGAAUUUAAGGGUGUCCUCUUCAUCAGAGGGACCCGACCUUCAUUUCCAACCCUGUGAACACAAUAUGAGGGAUUGCGCAAGCAAAUACCUCUUCAUUUUAAACUCUACAAGUCUAAGAAUGUAACCAAACCAAAACAAAAUA